rnacentral:rRNA from 1 species
AGUGAACGCUGGCGGUAGGCCUAACACAUGCAAGUCGAACGGCAGCACAGUAGGAGCUUGCUCUUACGGGUGGCGAGUGGCGGACGGGUGAGGAAUACAUCGGAAUCUACUUUUUCGUGGGGGAUAACGUAGGGAAACUUACGCUAAUACCGCAUACGACCUACGGGUGAAAGCAGGGGAUCUUCGGACCUUGCGCGAUUGAAUGAGCCGAUGUCGGAUUAGCUAGUUGGCGGGGUAAAGGCCCGCCAAGGCGACGAUCCGUAGCUGGUCUGAGAGGAUGAUCAGCCACACUGGAACUGAGACACGGUCCAGACUCCUACGGGAGGCAGCAGUGGGGAAUAUUGGACAAUGGGCGCAAGCCUGAUCCAGCCAUACCGCGUGGGUGAAGAAGGCCUUCGGGUUGUAAAGCCCUUUUGUUGGGAAAGAAAAGCAGCAGGUUAAUACCCCGCUGUUCUGACGGUACCCAAAGAAUAAGCACCGGCUAACUUCGUG